GCAAUUUUCUCGGGGUUCAGGGGCUGGCGGAAGGUGCUUCCGGAAGAAAAGUGGGGAAAGGGCGCGAGACGCCGCCGUUUCCCCCCCCCCCGCGAAUAUCUGCGCGCGAAGGGGAUCGAGUGGCGGGGAGCAGCAGCAGCCGGUGAAGCAGCGUCAUGUCCUCGCCGGCCUCCACACCGAGCCGCCGCGGCGGCAGCAAGCGCGGGCGGAGCAGCAACCCCCCGACUCGUAAGUGCAACGUUUCCCUACAGAGGCUUUGCCAGCACAGCUAUAGGGGAAGCACGCACUGAAGAUGCUCAGUCUCCUCUUUCACAAAAAGGUCGAACAGAUGACUCCACAUCUACAGGAGAUCUACAGCCAAUGCCAACUUCUCCAGCAGUUGGCAUGCAAAGCCCAAAUGCUUAAGAUGUUCUGCUUUCCAGCCCACUACAAUUUUGGUUAUGCUUGUCAGUAGUAGGAGCAAAAUGCUGAUAUCUGUGUAUUAUUGGCUAUUAAAUGGCGUAGACGGAAAGAUUUAUUUUAGGCUUUUACAUAGCUGUCAAUUUAAAAACAAAAAGGGCCUUUUGAAUGAACAGGAUUGUUUUCAAUUACAGCUCUAGAGUGGAGGGUACUCCAAGGAGUGGUGUGCGAGGAACUCCAGUUAGGCAGAAGCCAGAUCUUGGAUAUGCCCGCAAAGCCAGACAGGUGGACUUGCAUUCUGUUGAGCCAGCAAAGGAUGCAUUGGCAAGUGAACAAUCUCUUGGACAAAAGCUUGUGAUCUGGGGAACAGAUACUAUUGUAGCUUCAUGCAAAGUUAAGUUCCGGGGCAUUCUGCUUCAACUGUUUGGGGGAUCAAGAAAAGAUUUGAGUCAUACCGGAAGAGGCAGUUUUCGUGCUGAGAUCAACAUUCUUCUGUGUGGUGAUCCUGGCACUAGUAAAUCACAGCUGCUUCAAUAUGUCUAUAACCUGGUUCCUAGAGGCCAGUACACAUCAGGGAAGGGCUCUAGUGCAGUUGGUCUUCAUUGGUGUAAUGAAGGACCCAGAGACAAGGCAGCUGGUUCUGCAGACAGGUGCUCUGGUUCUCAGUGACAAUGGCAUUUGCUGCAUCGAUGAAUUUGAUAAAAUGAAUGAAAGUACAAGAUCAGUACUGCAUGAGGUAAUGGAUCAUCAGACUCUAUUGCCAAGGCUGUCACUAAAGGAAUGUUCGAAGAAGCACUUCAUGCCUUGGCUGAUGAUGACUUCUUGACUGUGACUGGAAAGACUGUUAGAUUGCUGUAAUGAAAUGCUAGCUUAACAGCAGAGUUUCACUGUUUUUUCCAAGUACUUCUUUUGAGACCUUUCACAUUUAAGAAUAUUAUUCACUGUGGUCAAAUUCAUGUUGGUGAUCUGUUGGUGAACACCAUUGCCAGCACUGUAAAUAACUAGAUACUGAAGGACUGCAAAAAGCUGAAAUUAAACGCAGUGAUAUUUGUUUGAACAAAAUGGGUUACUAACAUUUCAUUGCAAUGUGUAUUUUCAAUAAAGUGCUUUGUAGAA